UACAGAGGUCCCAAGCGUUAGGCGGAAUCACUGGGCUUAAAGCGUGUGUAGGCGGAUUUGUAAGUACCUUGUGAAAUCCCACGGCUCAACCGUGGAACUGCUUGGUAUACUGCUUAUCUUGGGCCAUCUAGGGGCGAGCGGAACAAACGGUGGAGCGGUGAAAUGCGUAGAUAUCGUUUGGAACGCCAAUGGUGAAAACAGCUCGCUGGGGAUGUGCCGACGCUGAGACACGAAAGCCAGGGGAGCGAACGGG
rnacentral:rRNA from 1 species